rnacentral:rRNA from 1 species
GGAGGGACUCUUGCCGUAAAACCCCCCCAAUUUUCCAAAGGUUGACCUCGGAUCAGGUAGGAAUACCCGCUGAACUUAAGCAUAUCAAUAAGCGGAGGAAAAGAAACCAACAGGGAUUGCCUCAGUAACGGCGAGUGAAGCGGCAACAGCUCAAAUUUGAAAUCUGGCCCCAGGCCCGAGUUGUAAUUUGCAGAGGAUGCUUUUGGUGCGGUGCCUUCCAAGUUCCCUAGAACGGGACGCCAGAGAGGGUGAGAGCCCCGUACAGUUGGACACCAAGCCUUUGUAAAGCUCCUUCGACGAGUCGAGUAGUUUGGGAAUGCUGCUCAAAAUGGGAGGUAUAUUUCUUCUAAAGCUAAAUACCGGCCAGAGACCGAUAGCGCACAAGUAGAGUGAUCGAAAGAUGAAAAGCACUUUGAAAAGAGGGUUAAACAGCACGUGAAAUUGUUAAAAGGGAAGCGCUUGUGACCAGACUUGCGUCCGGUGAAUCACCCAGCUCUCGCGGCUGGGGCACUUCGCCGGCUCAGGCCAGCAUCAGCUCGCUGUCGGGGACAAAAGCUUCAGGAACGUAGCUCUCUUCGGGGAGUGUUAUAGCCUGUUGCACAAUACCCUUCGGCGGGCUGAGGUACGCGCUCCGCAAGGAUGCUGGCAUAAUGGUCAUCAGCGACCCGUCUUGAAACACGGACCAAGGAGUCAACCUUAUGUGCGAGUGUUCGGGUGUCAAACCCCUACGCGUAAUGAAAGUGAACGCAGGUGAGAGCUUCGGCGCAUCAUCGACCGAUCCUGAUGUUCUCGGAUGGAUUUGAGUAAGAGCAUAUAGGGUUGGACCCGAAAGAAGGUGAACUAUGCGUGUAUAGGGUGAAGCCAGAGGAAACUCUGG